ACAUCGUAACGGUUUUUUUUGUGUCUGUUGUUUUGUGAUUUUUGUGAAAGAUCAGGUUUAAGGUUGCAGACACAAUACCAGAAGAUAAACUGAUACUUGCAGGAAAUGUCAAAAGUGGGAAAGCUGGAGAUUCCCAGUUCACUAAAAAUGUAUGCUCAUUGUUGUGGGAUCCAGAAGUCCUCGAAAAAAGAAGCGUAACUGGACGAAAAUCGAAUGUCCACAAGGACUUCAAAGCAAAAACAAUGUUGACACCCCAAAAAAUGGAAAGUUUAAGAAAAAUGUUCAAACGACGGAUCCUCGAGGAGAAUCCGAAUGCUUCGAGAAGUGAGAUGGAAUUAAGAUGCGCUAGCAUUAACCAGUACGUUGCUCAAAAGAUCGCAACCCUAAACAGAAAAAGCUUCAAAUCUCCUGGAGCACACCCAGAUAAGGACAUAUUAAUUCAUGAAUAAUAUAUAUGUGAUGUAAUGUUUCUUCAUAAAUAAUAUAAUAAUAUAUGAGCUACUUUAAUAAACAAUUUUGCAUUUUA